GGCGGCGUGCUUAACACAUGCAAGUCGAACGAUGAACCACUUCGGUGGGGAUUAGUGGCGAACGGGUGAGUAACACGUGGGCAAUCUGCCCUGCACUCUGGGACAAGCCCUGGAAACGGGGUCUAAUACCGGAUAUGACCCUCGCAGGCAUCUGUGAGGGUGUAAAGCUCCGGCGGUGCAGGAUGAGCCCGCGGCCUAUCAGCUUGUUGGUGAGGUAACGGCUCACCAAGGCGACGACGGGUAGCCGGCCUGAGAGGGCGACCGGCCACACUGGGACUGAGACACGGCCCAGACUCCUACGGGAGGCAGCAGUGGGGAAUAUUGCACAAUGGGCGAAAGCCUGAUGCAGCGACGCCGCGUGAGGGAUGACGGCCUUCGGGUUGUAAACCUCUUUCAGCAGGGAAGAAGCGAAAGUGACGGUACCUGCAGAAGAAGCGCCGGCUAACUACGUGCCAGCAGCCGCGGUAAUACGUAGGGCGCAAGCGUUGUCCGGAAUUAUUGGGCGUAAAGAGCUCGUAGGCGGCUUGUCGCGUCGGUUGUGAAAGCCCGGGGCUUAACCCCGGGUCUGCAGUCGAUACGGGCAGGCUAGAGUUCGGUAGGGGAGAUCGGAAUUCCUGGUGUAGCGGUGAAAUGCGCAGAUAUCAGGAGGAACACCGGUGGCGAAGGCGGAUCUCUGGGCCGAUACUGACGCUGAGGAGCGAAAGCGUGGGGAGCGAACAGGAUUAGAUACCCUGGUAGUCCACGCCGUAAACGGUGGGCACUAGGUGUGGGCGACAUUCCACGUCGUCCGUGCCGCAGCUAACGCAUUAAGUGCCCCGCCUGGGGGAGUACGGCCGCAAGGCUAAAACUC
rnacentral:rRNA from 1 species